UACGGAGGGUGCAAACGUUGCUCGGAAUCAUUGGGCGUAAAGCGCACGUAGGCGGUCCAGCAAGUCGGGUGUGAAAGCCCCGGGCUCAACCUGGGAAUUGCAUUCGAGACUGAAUAGCUAGGGUACGGUAGAGGGAAGUGGAAUUUCCGGUGUAGCGGUGAAAUGCGUAGAUAUCGGAAGGAACAUCAGUGGCGAAAGCGACUUCCUGGACCAGUACCGACGUUCAGGCACGAAAGCGUGGGGAGCGAACAGG
rnacentral:rRNA from 1 species